UAACCUGCCCAAGAGAUCGGGAUAACACCUGGAAACAGAUGCUAAUACCGGAUAACAACAGAUGAUGCCUAUCAACUGUUUAAAAGAUGGUUCUGCUAUCACUCUUGGAUGGACCUGCGGUGCAUUAGCUAGUUGGUAGGGUAACGGCCUACCAAGGCGAUGAUGCAUAGCCGAGUUGAGAGACUGAGUCCGGCCACUAGUUGGGACUGAGACACGGCCCAAACUCCUACGGGAGGCAGCAGCC
rnacentral:rRNA from 1 species